GUCUUAUCUGCCUGUUUUUCUCCUUUCCCAAGGAGACUGUAAGGACAACUGAACAAUCUGGAAGAUUACGAUAUUACGAGUAUCAAAGGAAUGAAAUGGGUGCCUCUGAAAGCGAGUGGGAUCUCUGUGCCAGCCCGCAGGGUGUAUUAGCCACCCCACCGCUCCAGCCGUACCGAAGAGGUAGAGGGAAAAAUCUCUUUGCUAAANNNNNNNNNNNNNNNNNNNNNNNNNNNNNNNNNNNNUCAGCAGGGAUUUGAGCAGGGGCUGACGCCGACCCAUCAGCCCCCAUUGGGAACAGAGUUGGACCCAGCUCAUCGCAGUAAUUCCCGAGCUUAUUUCCUCAAAUUGUCAGUUUCUUCUACGUCCGCAUCAUUAUUUCAGUUCCUGCAGCCAAGUUUUCAAGCCCUGCAGAUACUCGCUGCCUUUCUCCUUCACCGUAUCAAUGCUUGCUUUCUUUUUUUCAAGAAAUAAUUGCAAUGCAAACAUUUCUUCCCAUUUUAGAGAGAGAGGUUGACGGGCACAAAACAUGCCCCAGCAUUGCAGUAAAACGGGAAGGCGUCCUUCGGCCACUUUUGUAACGCAGUCGUGUAUUAUUUCCACCUCAAGUUGCUUGUCCCUAUGUGCUCGCUAAAUCAUGCAGGAGCCAAUUCUCUAUCGUGGAGCAGCACCCAGAGUUUGGUUCCAGCAAACUGAGAGGGUUUCUCACAAAUUUCCAGUGAUGGUACAGUUAAGAAAAAAAAAAAACCCAAAAGCAAAACCAGCUCUGGGCUUUUUUCAUGCUUUCCAGGUUUCCCAAAAUGCUCCAUCACAGAGGAUGGGACUUGGCGGGGAAAACCCCCGUGAUGGAAAAGAGAGGGAUGUGCUGAAUGGGUGGGCUGGGGAGGCCAAAAUGCCCCCCGCGACGCCUGCAGUGACUUCUCCCGGUGGGCCCGGGCGCGCUUUAUUCCCUUCCUCUCUGCAACAACCUCUCACAUACUUGGAGCCUGUUAUUAUGUCUCCCCUCAGCCUGCUCUUCUCUAGACUAAACAAAUCCAAUCCUUCAGCCCCUUCCGCACAGGCCAAGUUUUCUCGGCUCCUGGUUGAUAUCGCUGCCUUCCCCUGGCCUCUCUCCAGUGGGUCACGCUCGCCGGGCUUCAGAGUCCUUCGUGAGCAGAGCGGAGGGGACGGGAAAGACGAUAAAAAGCAGAAGGCUGUUCCCGACUGUCGGGAGGCCAAGCGCAAUCUGCAGCGGAAAGAUGGGGCAUGGUUCGCUCAAGAGCCGGGGUGUCCCUGUCCGUGGAGGGCUUCAAGAAGAGGAAAUCUGUCUGCUUCGGUAAAACAGGGCUGAGGUGGAGAUGCUGGUCAAAACCCCAGAGCACACGCCAGAAGGUAGUGAGUAAGAAGAGGGCAGACGCGUACGACAUUCGCUGCUUCCGGUGCGGCCGGUUCCCUUGUGAUUUGUGCGGUUACGGACCCCCAAAACAGGAGGUCGUGCUCAGACCCGAACUCAAUUCAACGGAAAAGACGACAUCUUCCCUGCCAUGAGUCAGACAAUUCAUCGGGAAUGAAAAACCGCGCAAGCAUUCGCCAGGCCCUUCAAGAGACGGAGAGUUUACAGCGGGCAGUUUUGAGACCUGGGACAAGUCGGUGCAGCGUUGUUACAAGGUAUUUCCCAACCAGCGGGACGACAUGCCAGUUAGCAGGCAGUGACUCGCGGGCGGCCACGUGAGCGGCAAGGGUGGGCACCCCGCGCCUCCGCGACGCCCGGAGGCCAGGCCCCCCGUGCUACCAGGGGCGGAUGCGUGAAAAACGCUCGUUCGCUAAUCGGUGCGGUCCCCUGGCCAGCUCCGGGAUUCGUAGGGGAGAUACGUGGCGUUCAGGGAAGGACAACGUUUCGAGCCGGUCCCAACCGUUAAGCGACGCGCGGUUGUGCUUGACGUGGUGCAAAGCUGCGUGGGACCAGCUCCUCUCUGCAGCCCCGCGCACGAAAACCAGCGCUGUGCAGCGGGCGCCGCCGGUGACUCACCCGCUCCUAGGGCAUUGCUCAGAGGCCGGGAGCGAUCCGUGGUCGGAUGCUCCAGCUCCGGUUUGGCAUCCCUCAAACAAACCCUUCAGCCCCGGAGGCGCAAAGUGGGUUUCUAGGCUGGAUCCACAGCAAGGCUAAGAGACAUUGGGCCACCAGCCUCCCCACGUGGCCCCAGACCACGUGGCAAAGCCCCCGGGAGACACAGGGGUGCAGAGCAGGCACUGGGACGGGUGUUCAGGGGCGACGGGGAGCGUUUAAGUUAAAAAGUGACAGUGCAUUAAUUGCCCUUCCUCCCCCCUGCAAGGGGGAGGGCCUGUUUGCU
rnacentral:lncRNA from 1 species